rnacentral:rRNA from 1 species
UAGGGAAUCUUCGGCAAUGGGGGCAACCCUGACCGAGCAACGCCGCGUGAGUGAAGAAGGUUUUCGGAUCGUAAAGCUCUGUUGUAAGUCAAGAACGAGUGUGAGAGUGGAAAGUUCACACUGUGACGGUAUCUUACCAGAAAGGGACGGCUAACUACGUGCCAGCAGCCGCGGUAAUACGUAGGUCCCGAGCGUUGUCCGGAUUUAUUGGGCGUAAAGCGAGCGCAGGCGGUUAGAUAAGUCUGAAGUUAAAGGCUGUGGCUUAACCAUAGUAUGCUUUGGAAACUGUUUAACUUGAGUGCAGAAGGGGAGAGUGGAAUUCCAUGUGUAGCGGUGAAAUGCGUAGAUAUAUGGAGGAACACCGGUGGCGAAAGCGGCUCUCUGGUCUGUAACUGACGCUGAGGCUCGAAAGCGUGGGGAGCAAACAGGAUUAGAUACCCUGGUAGUCCACGCCGUAAACGAUGAGUGCUAGGUGUUAGGCCCUUUCCGGGGCUUAGUGCCGCAGCUAACGCAUUAAGCACUCCGCCUGGGGAGUACGACCGCAAGGUUG